rnacentral:rRNA from 1 species
GACGAACGCUGGCGGCGUGCUUAACACAUGCAAGUCGAACGAUGAAGCCGGAGCUUGCUCUGGUGAAUUAGUGGCGAACGGGUGAGUAACACGUGAGUAACCUGCCCUUGACUCUGGGAUAACUGCGGGAAACUGUAGCUAAUACCGGAUACGACCCUCGGAGGCAUCUCCUGGGGGUGGAAAGAAUUUCGGUCAAGGAUGGACUCGCGGCCUAUCAGCUAGUUGGUGAGGUAAAGGCUCACCAAGGCGACGACGGGUAGCCGGCCUGAGAGGGUGACCGGCCACACUGGGACUGAGACACGGCCCAGACUCCUACGGGAGGCAGCAGUGGGGAAUAUUGCACAAUGGGCGCAAGCCUGAUGCAGCAACGCCGCGUGAGGGAUGACGGCCUUCGGGUUGUAAACCUCUUUCAGUAGGGACGAAGCGAAAGUGACGGUACCUAAAGAAGAAGCACCGGCUAACUACGUGCCAGCAGCCGCAGUAA